rnacentral:rRNA from 1 species
GACGAACGCUGGCGGUGUGCUUCACACAUGCAAGUCGAACGAGGUAGCAAUACCUAGUGGCGGACGGGUGAGUAACGCGUGGGAAUCUGCCUUUAGAUGGGGGAUAACGAGCCGAAAGGUUCGCUAAUACCGCAUAUGCCGUAAGGUGAAAGGAGUAAUCCGUCUAGAGAUGAGCCCGCGUCCGAUUAGCUAGUUGGUAGGGUAAAGGCCUACCAAGGCGACGAUCGGUAGCUGGUCUGAGAGGAUGAUCAGCCACAAUGGGACUGAGACACGGCCCAUACUCCUACGGGAGGCAGCAGUGGGGAAUUUUACGCAAUGGGGGAAACCCUGACGUAGCGACACCGCGUAAGCGAAGAAGCCCCUUGGGGUGUAAAGCUCUGUCGGCUGGAACGAAAAAAAUGACGGUACCAGCAAAGGAAGCAUCGGCUAACUACGUGCCAGCCGCCGCCGUAA